GUGUCAAGUAUUGAACCUGACUAUGGCUAAAAUAAGAAUUACCUGAUGAACUCAAAUUUAAAGGAUUUUUCAAUGUUUAACAAGUGAAGUUUUAACUUGCUUGUUGAAAAAAAUAUACUUGAAAUCGACAAUGAUCUUAGGAAAAGAAGAAGCCGUUGAAGAUGAAGCAACAAGAGUUUGCAAGUCUUCAAAAGAGAAGCCUCAUGGGAAAUCUGAAGGGCCAGGAAGAGUUACCACCAAAGCAUGUCCUAUAAUGUAAUGCUAUCCAAAUGAAAUCACAGCCUUGUUAACAUCAUAUCCAUCACACAUCAUCUGAAGAGAAGCUCCAAACAACUAACUUGCAUUGAAAAGCUCCUCACACUCAUUUAAUCCUUAUUAAUUUCUGAUUUAAAUGUUUCCUAGCAAAGUUCUAUAACAUUUCUUUGCACUGCCAUGUAAUACCAUGCUUAAGUGUAUGUUUUAUGGAGGAAAUUACAAGGACAUCGUUUAUCUCAAUAUUUUUGUACUUGUGACAUAUUAAAGUUAGCUUGAAAUAAAGCAAAACAAAGACACA
rnacentral:lncRNA from 1 species